UGAGAUCUGACCUUGUUGCUAAGGUAGCAAAAUCAUUAGUUUUUUAAUUGUGAACCAGUAUAAACGACUUGACGAGAAAAUCCCUGUCUUUAAUUCAAACAUAAACUUUAUCUAAAGGUAAAAAAGCCUUUUAAACCUAAAGGGACGACAAGACCCUAGAACCUAUCUUCAACUCUUAGAUUUUAAUUACUUUAAAAGACCUAAAAGAGUUACUGGGGCGGUAAUUAUUAUUCCAAUUUGAAACUUACCGCACUGCGCGUUAAUUUACACCAAUAACAAAUCCAAAUAGGUACUCUAGGGAUAACAGCACGAUUUAUCUUUAGAGCCCUUAUCGACAGAUAACUUGUGACCUCGAUGUUGAAUUGAGUUACUUAUCUAAGCAG
rnacentral:rRNA from 1 species